rnacentral:lncRNA from 1 species
UUUUUUUUUUUCCUUUUUGUGUGCUGCCUCUUCCUCCCACACCAAUACCAUGUUGGCUAUUUUGCCCCAUAGUGAAACAGAAAGAACUCUGUGAUCAUUAGCCUAAAAUAUAUUAGCAACUGAAUUUUAAAUCUCUGAAGGCUCAUUGUUGUUAAAUUUUAAAAAUGGAUACAUUUUACCUUUGGCUGGGGUUCCCAGACUCUCCUUUUGGGGUCUCUCCAUUCUUCCUCUAUUUAUUGUUUUCAAAGUUGCCUACCACAUGUGUUGAGAUUCCACUCUUUCCUCCUGUUAAAAAUAUAUAAAUUUGUUAAAGGUGUACAAAAUAGUAUAAACAUACAUGAAGUUUGAGGCCAGCAGAUCUGAAUUUAUUUCUCCAUUCUGUCAUUGAACAAGUUGUCUGACUUUUUGCAAUUUUUUUGAGUAUCACCUCUCUCUAAUCUCUAAAUUAGGAAAAAUCACCUCAUUAAUUAGUUGAGAGGAUUAAGUAAGAUAUUAUUAAGCCCCAGGUACUUAGUGGGAAGCUUAAAACAAUAGUUCCUUUCUCCUACUUCUCUUCAUUGGCAUUGAGACACAACUUAGUAUCAGUCAUUAUGGAGGGCAUCACUCUACAAAUAUUUUGGGACCUAUGCGUAUGUAUUGGAAUUAGGUAUCAGACAUAAGUGAAAACGCAUGAGAGAGAAAUAAUUUCAGUACUUCUUGGUACUACUAUGAACUAUUUCUGCCAGCAUAGGGAUAACUUUGUUUCCCACAGAUAAUCCUAAUCCUGAUCAUGGUGGACACAGAUCUCCUUAUUUUCUUAAAAUUUUCUCAGUUGUUAUUGAUAACGUUGGUACUGUAUUUCAGUUUCUUUAUAUAUCAACAUUAAAUAUUUGCCUGUCACCAAAAUGUGAAGUAAAAAGCAAAAAAUUUGUAUAAAAGGUUUAUUUUGACUGUUUUUAUUUUUUCCUGUGGUGCAUCUAUCAAAGAGCAUUUAUUUACUUAUGGCAGGGGAGGGGUAUCAGGGAAUCAAAUCUAAUUUAAUUUCUUAACUUUUAAUUUUUCAAAGUUGGGAUUGGAAGAGAGUCUGAGAAAAAGCUCUCUUGGCUGCUUUAAAAGCUAAGGAUUAGUAGCAAUGUUCUGACCUGAAAUUUAGGUCUUGUGAUUUCUUUCCAAGAGAUUUUUCACUGCAUGAAAAACCUGUCUGCAAUGGCCUUUUUUAUUUAAUUCAAUCUUAAUUGGUUGCGAACUGUAAAAAUCUAAGGGAUUGUUAAAAGGCCUCAAAGUGCACAAAAGUAUUUUUAAGAGUAAUAUUAAUAAUCUGGAAGUGAAAAAUGUACUUUGCUAAGUUACUUAACCUUUUACCUACGUUCUAGGUUCAUUUUGCAUUUCUUUUAAAUUUUGAAUGUUUCAAGGACGGAAAAUUUCAUCCCUAGAGCAUAUGCACUGUUUAGGGGACAGUUCAGCCAUUUUCAAAAGCAGGCUAAGCUUUGUGUUCAGAGAUGUAUAUUUUAGGAAUUCUCCACGUGGCUUAAUUACGAUCAUGCCUUGAUUGUCAGCAGAGGUAAGCCAGGCUUCAUCUUCUAAUGAGACCCCUUGGAAAAGAGUCGGCUGCUGAGGCACCAACACACCAUAGGUGAGGGAGGACCAGCUUUCUAAAACGGCCUUUCAUAACCUGGAGGGAAUCACUGAGCGCUAUCAGGCCACCGCCUGACGGAGAAGCCAAUGCCCAGAGGCUUUUUCUUUCGCAAGAGAUGGAAAUGGCCGGCUUGUGGAGAU